UAUGAACGUGUGGAUAUAGAGGGUAUGCUUGAAUGAUUAAUCUUGUACAAGAAAUAGCCAACACAAUAUAAUGAGCACAACCAAUAUGCAAUGUAUGUAUGCUCAAAUAACACAAGUAAACCACAAGUAAGGAGUUAGGGUUAAGGAUAACCAAGGUCACUAAGACGAAGAUGUAUCCCGAUGUUCACUUCCUUGGAGGGAAGCUAGUCACCGUUAGAGAGGUGGAUGUUACCACGAAGGCACACCAACGCCACGAAGGCUCACCCUAUUCUCCCUUGGAGAUAACACCACGAAGGCGUUUCUCAACCACUAGUGGUAAGCCUUUGAGGUGGCUUCCAAACCCUCACAAACUUUUCCGGGGGAAAUCACACGAAUUGAUUCCUCUCCGAAGAACUCCUAUCGCCUAGGAGUCUCCAACCUCCAAGAGUAACAAGAUCACGGGGAAUGCUCAAAACUUGCUCAAAACACAAAUAGCUUGGGUUGAGAGAAGGAGAGGGAGACGAUCUAUGUUUUGAUUGGAACAACUCUCAAAGGGGCUCACAAAUGCUCUUGGGAUCUAAGAUUUGGAGUGAGCAAAUGUGUGUGAGGUGGCAAUGUGUUCUUAUGAGGAUAAGGCUGUGUUAGGCAACCCUCUCACGAAGUGGGAGGGGGGUAUUUCUAGUGGGGAGAGAAAAAGAGCCGUUGGGGACACUUUAAGUCACACAGGGUCCGGACGUCCGACAGUUGUCGGAAGUCCGGGCGUCCGCGAGGGGUCGGACGUCCGACAGGGGUCGGUCGUCCGAGGCCUGUAGAUACGAUUGAAACUAUUUUGAAUUAAACAGCGACCGGACGUCCGACAAGGGUCGGUCGUCCGAGGCCUGUAGAUACGACUGAACCUAUGUUGAAUUUAUCAGCCACCGAACGUCCGGAGAGGACCGGAAAUCCGAGUUAUACAACUCAACUUCUACUGGUGGUAGGUUUCGGAUUUCCGACAGGUGUCGGACGCCCGGCGCUCGGACGUCCGGAGGGAGCCGGAUUUCCGAGAUAUAGAACUCAACUUCUACUGGUGCAGGCUUCCGGAUUUUCGGGACUUGGCCGGACAUCCGGGCCUCGGACGUCCGGAGGGAGCCGGAAGUCCGAGUUAUAUGGGUCUGAUUUCUCUGGUAUAGGAUUCCAUAUUUCCGAACUAGUCGGUCGUUCGGUCCUCGGACGUCCNNNNNNNNNNNNNNNNNNNNNNNNNNNNNNNNNNNNNNNNNNNNNNNNNNNNNNNNNNNNNNNNNNNNNNNNNNNNNNNNNNNNNNNNNNNNNNNNNNNNUUUUCCUCCGCUCUCUUUCUUGCGUGCAAGAGAGUUUUCUCCGGGCAUUUCUCGCGCGAGGAAAAAUGAAAAUGCAAAUCAAAAAGACGAAAGAAAUUCACGAGCUAAAUUUAUUUCAAUCAAUUAUGCAUAGAUGCUUAGCUACAAUGUAAACAUUCCCAAUUAGGAAAAAUUGGGAUGUUACAUUCUUCAAAGAAGUGACUUGGGCCUUGAGCUCUUCGAUUUCCUCUGCACGGUUAGUAUCAAUGCAAAUACUAGAGGAAGUGUAAGCUUCAAUGUUAGAGCAACAAGGCAAGGAAAAUAAUUCAUCACACGAGGUAGCAACAUUGUGAGUAGACGAAUUACGAGGACUAGCACAUGGAAAUAUAGUACUUUGACUAGAAGUAGUGCCAUUGUCCACAUGAGGCUCACUUGAUGUUACCUUGGUGAUGAAAGCCUCAUGAGCUAACUUUUGCACAUUAUGGGAUGUUAGAAGAUCGGCAUGAGAGCUUGUGAGCAUUACAUGGUUUUCUUCCAACUUCCCAUAAUUGCUAGUUAGUAAGUCAAGUUGAGCACGUAGCUCAACAUUCUCCUUCAAUGUUGAUACUUCAAAAGAGAUGGGGUUAGAUGUACAAGUAUCAUCAACAACAUGACAGGAGUAAGUAGCAAAUAGAGACUUCUCAUGAGUAGAUUGAAGCUCCUCAUAGAUCUUAGAGGUUUUGAUGAGCUCUCCCUUGACAUUAUUGCAUUCAAGGAGAAGGACCUCAAAAUCCUUUUUAAGUUUAUCAUGAGCAACUUCAAUCUCUCCUUUUGAAGAUCUUAAGUCUCUACAUGCUUGAUGACUCUUCUCAAGUUCAUGUUCAAGUUGUUCACUUUUAGCUUGUUCAUGAUUAAGUGAAUCAUUACAAUUUUCAAAGUAAGCAAGAACAUCUUGGAACCUUUGAAGAGCGUUAUUUUUAGCUUUAUGAAGAAUUUUACUGAUCACAUAGAUAUUUUCAGUCAAGUCAUCAUCAUCAUCCUCAUCGCAAAUAUCAUCGUUAUUGCACAGGGAAGAUGAUGCCUCAUUAUUACCUCUUGCCAUGAGGCACAUGUGAACUGGAGGAGUUGAUGAUGAUUCUUUUGGUGAAUCAGAUUCUUCAUUAGUCAAAAGUACUUCAUAUUUCUUGAUUUCCCCUAAAUGGUUAGUCAUAGAGCAACUAGGGAGAAACAAGAUAUUUUGAUCAGGAGGACACGAGGAAGCAGGCAUAUCACCACAGACAUUUGUCGAGGAAUCUUUAGGUGAAAUGCAUGACCUAUCAGCACAAUAAUUUACACUAUGUGUGGUGCUAGAUAUGCUCGUGUCCAUAGAGGCUAUGACAUUUUCAUCAACAUAUAUUUCUUCACUCACCAUGUCAUUACCUUGUGAGAUUGAAGAUGCUGAGGUGUGCAAGCAAUCGGAUAUGGAAGUAGUGGUGGACUCUUUAAGAUCGAAAAGAGUCAAGAGCUCAUGCACCAACUCCUUCAUCAUAAUACCGUCAUCAUCAAGAUUGGACCCACCAUAUAUAUCUUCAAGUUUAGUCCAAACUUCAUGAGCUUACUUGCAAGUCGAGAUAGACUUAAACACUUCAGGACUUAUGGUUCGAUGAAUGGCAAGAAAAGCCUCACAAUCAAGAUACAUUUCAUUAGUAGAUGAAGAUGCAUCAUCCUUUUUGUCGGCAAUCCCUACAAGAACAAUUUGUAAAGUAUUUGGGCCCAUGGCCCGAAAGUGAUGAAGCAUACAAAUUCUCCAUAGGGUAUAAUUUGUGCCAUCAAAGUCAAAGAUGCCAUUGUGCACUAAUCCAAUAGUCGACAUCGAUACUCUCUAGGUCGUGAAACCUAAUUAAAGAGAGACCUAGCUAUGAUACCAAUUGAAAAGUCCUCGAUGACGCCUAGAGGGGGGUGAAUAGGCUAUUUAAAAACUUCUUCGGAUUUGGCUUGAACCUAAUGCGGAAAUAAACUAAGAGGGUACUUGUCAAGCACAAAUCCUAAAUGCACUAGGCACUGCAACGUGUAUCAACAACACGAUCUACCAAGAUGGACACAAUACAGUUACUAACAAGCACAAGUAAGUUACACAAACUUACUUGAGCUAUAUCACUCGUCAAGUAGGUGAACAAUGCAAGAUACUAGAUCACACUAUAUCAACACAAUAUAUCAAGGGCUGCAAGUAUGAACGUGUGGAUAUAGAGGGUAUGCUUGAAUGAUUAAUCUUGUACAAGAAAUAGCCAACACAAUAUAAUGAGCACAACCAAUAUGCAAUGUAUGUAUGCUCAAAUAACACAAGUAAACCACAAGUAAGGAGUUAGGGUUAAGGAUAACCAAGGUCACUAAGACGAAGAUGUAUCCCGAUGUUCACUUCCUUGGAGGGAAGCUAGUCACCGUUAGAGAGGUGGAUGUUACCACGAAGGCACACCAACGCCACGAAGGCUCACCCUAUUCUCCCUUGGAGAUAACACCACGAAGGCGUUUCUCAACCACUAGUGGUAAGCCUUUGAGG
rnacentral:lncRNA from 1 species